UACGUAGGGUGCAAGCGUUGUCCGGAAUUAUUGGGCGUAAAGAGCUCGUAGGCGGUCUGUCGCGUCUGCUGUGAAAACUCAGGGCUUAACCCUGAGCUUGCAGUGGGUACGGGCAGACUAGAGUGCGGUAGGGGAGACUGGAAUUCCUGGUGUAGCGGUGAAAUGCGCAGAUAUCAGGAGGAACACCUGUGGCGAAGGCGGGUCUCUGGGCCGUAACUGACGCUGAGGAGCGAAAGCAUGGGGAGCGAACAGG
rnacentral:rRNA from 1 species